UGGUGGAGUGAUUUGCCGGGUUCAUCCCGUUAAUGACCGAGACCUUAACCUGCUCAGUAGUUACACGAAGCUCUGGUUACGUGGGCAACUCCUUAGAGGGACUUUGCGUGUCUAACGCAAGGAAGUUUGAGGCAAUAGCA
rnacentral:rRNA from 1 species